rnacentral:lncRNA from 1 species
AUUUGACAACCAUGAAUAUUAAUAAUAUAAUAUGUUAACAGCAAGUUUACAGUAUAUCGUAUAAUACAAAAGCAAUAUCACUGAUAUUAUCACAAGACUCAAGUACUGUACAUGGUCUAAUAGAUGUUUCUUAGUCAGCAACUAUGCUCUUUGACAUUGUGGCAAUCAGGUAUUCUUGGGGCUUUUAGCUUGGUUUUUCACUUUUUUGAUGCAACUAUAGAAUACCCACAACUUUCACACCUUACCGCUAUUAAUUCCUUGUAAACAUUGUCAAUUUACUCAAAAUUGAUCUAAUAUGAUUGCCUCAUUCUUCAAAAAACCCCAGUCAAAUUUGAACCAAACUAACAUACUCAUAUGAUUUAAUCUCUAAACUUUACCCUUAAACUAUUUUGAAGUGAUUCUUGUACUUAUUUAUGUGUCAAUGAAUGCGGAAAAAUGGCGAGGUAUUCUAUAAGCAUUCCGGCAUGUGUGUUUUUGAACCUUCACUGUUGACCAACAGCUGCCAAAUGGCAACUACUAUGCUCAGAGGUGUAACUUAACACUUGCCCGGGGCAAGUGAUUGAAGUGAAUAUCAUGAUGGGCAAGUAAAAGUUUCCUCUUGGUUGCCCGAACGGGCAAGUUGCUUUGCCACAAAAAGCUGGCCAGCUUUCAGUUCAUAUUAUUAUUGUCGGAUAGAAUAAAGGCUGUUCGACGACAUUGGUUCAAGCUGGCAAAUCAUCUGCAUCAAAUUCAUCUAAAUUGUUUGAUUAUAUUAUGCAUUGAUUCUCUUUUUGGUUAUUAAAUGUUUAUUCAUGAUAUGAUAACGAAAUAUGGCAGGACUUAAUUUAUGGCAGGACUUAAUUUGGGACUUUAUUAGUCCUGUUGUCUGUGCCUUCAAUUUCUUAUUGUAAAACUAAUAAAAAAUAAAUAAAAAAUAAUGGUGAUUAGUGUUACAUUAAAUUAAAUAAGUGUACUUGAUUCAAAUUUUGUUUAAUAUGUGAGCCAAAGCUAGAUCUGAGGUAGUCUAGAUCUGAGGCAGUAACAUAGCCAAUGCCACUAGUCCAAUGUGUGGAUAUGUUGUCUCUCUAAUUUAUACUGGCCCGCGUAGGUACCCCAUUGCCUGAUGGCAAGUGGAUUUUAUUCAGGGCAACCAAUUUUCAUGUCCAACUUGCCCUGAGGGCAAGUGGUCAAAAAAGUUAAGUUACACCACUGAUGCUGUAUACAAAUUAUAUACCUGAAAGGUAACUUACAUCAUAUUGGGUCAUUUAAAUACUAAUACUUGUAUUCUCACAGUGUAUUAAGAUAUACAAAUGCACUUGUGAUUCCCAAAGAAUUGCCACAAAAAAAAACAUAAACCACAUAUCAGUCAAUUUCAGUAAGUAUGGCACACUGGGGCACAUUGCAGCUCAAUGGGUUAACUAGAGACAUUGUCAGAUUUUGGUUAAUAACCAUAAUUGCAAGAGGUCAGUACAGUCUGUAACAAUAAGUAAUUCAGGAAUUCACACAAUUCUCAAUAGUUAAAUGAUUAUCGGAUUUCAUGUUAAAUGAUUAUCGGAUAAUGUUGAGCAUCAAGAAUAUAUGUAUAAUGGGUCGUUUCAGAAAACAUCGUCAACAUCCACACUCCCCCCACGGAGGAAAUUUCUGCCGUCCGGAGGGGGAGGGCAGACAAAAUUGUUUCUGAUAAUAGUAAACGUAUUAGGACAUCCGAAGGGGGUAGGGGGGUUAACUUCCAAUUUCCUCCGUGGGGGUGGUAUGGAUGUUUUCUGAAAUGACCCAAUAUAUCCUUCAUACAUUUAUAAUAAUAUUCAGGCUAAAUACUGUAUCAUAGUUUAUCAGGUAUAAAGAUACGAGGUGAAGCCAAGUACCUUUAGGUCUGAUAAAGCAUACACUGCGAAUGUUUUAAAUUGCUCAAUUGAUGGUCCCCAAAACAAAUAGUACUUUAUUACAAGGCGGCAAAAUGUAUUUAAAUUAAAAGAGAUGAAUAAUCUUGUCACUUGAUACAUUUGACACCAGGUGUCUUGUAUUUGUCCAUAAGAGACCCCUUGUUAUUGUAUCAUGUUUUGAGAAUGAGUUCAAUUUUGAUAUUUGUUGAUCUGAGCAAAAUAUUGAUAUUUGAUUUGCCUACUGAGGCACACAGUAUUGAACAGUCAAUUGUGGUGAGUGAUGCUGAACUGCCUGUUGUAUGUUGUGAGUGAUUUUGAGCGCCUGUUGUGAUGAGUGACACUGAAUUGCCCCAAUUGUGGCUCAGGAAAAAAUGUACCUGCUGACUUGUCAAAUAAUCUCCUUAAAUAAUGUUCUGGGAAGUAAUUUGUGUAAUUGAUUACAAGCAAAAACAAGAGCUUGUUAACAGUAUAAUGAGGAAAUUAAUUCCAUCUCAUUAUAUUAUUCAGCCUUGAUAAAGCAUAUGGAGGCUUUCUGUCUGAUUUGACCCUCAUGCAUGUAAUUGUUUGGGAAUGCCUGAUCAUUAAGAUCACAACAUUUGUUUUGAGGCUUGGCCUUUGAAAUCUAAACCCAAAGCACUAUAUGUAUGUUCACAAUGUUCUUGGGAUAAGAAUGAAAAUCAAAUAAAAUAUUUCAACUCAAUUAAAUUCAGGAAAUGUUAAUUAACCAUGGAGGUCAACCAGGUUAUACUCAGGGCAUAUGGCUAACAUAAGCAUUUAAAUUCCAAGUGCAUACGAUGUUAAUAUUCCUUGUUUUUCAGACAUUCUUUGGGUCUUGUACUCCCUUUAACUGUUAAAUAUACUGUAUGAUAUUGACAUUUGCAAGAAAGAUCUAUUGUAGCAACAAUAACUAUUAAAUGUUUUGAUGAUCAUGGAUAUGGUGUAUUGAGAGUUCAUAUUAUUAAAUUAAAGUGAUUUUACAUAUCUGUUUCACAAUCGAGGCAGCAAUUUCCUUGCGACAGUAAUUCAUAGUAUAAAUACUUCUAUCGAUCCAUUCGUUUUGCACUGUUGCUUUGUCUAUUUAAUAGAUCUCCUUUACAGUUCAACCAAGGUUCUCAGAGCUAAUUUGAAGGCAAUUUCAAAUUUAUUCAAUAUUUUUGGAAGAACUUUAACAGAUUUUUUCAUUUUAAAAUAGAUUUUUGUUCUUUAUUUGUCGAUUUCGGUGUUUAUGCAAUAUUGACGAAUAUAUUGUAGCUAAAGCGAUCAGCGAUCGCACCCCCCUGUAUAGUAUUUGCUCCGAUAUAUCACGUGACAAAAUAAUCCACAAUUUGUGGAUUAUUUCACCAGCCUUUACCAGGGCCUUUGCUGCCCUUCGCAUCUUUCUUUAAAAGGCCCUGGGGACGAGGUUGGUACAGCUCAUGCAGUUAUGUUCUUCUCUUAGUUUUUGUUGCAUUGCCCUAUAACCUAGUAAUUGUCCUGGACCCUCUAUCUCUUCACGCAAUGCCCUUUCCACGUAUUCGAGCGGUGUAUCGUACCGAACGUACUUGACAUCAUAAAACGCUAACCGUCUGCUUAAAACUCCUAAGCUCCAGGCGUACUGCGGAAAAUCCCGGCGAACAAAAUCCAAAAUCUCUCUGCGUGAUAGGUUUUGCAUAACAUUUCGCUCUAGGAAAGACUUUAAAUCGUCGUCAUUUUCCCAAUCGUUAUUUCUUAUUCCUUCCGCCAUCUUUCUUUUUUUGGGUUACCGCUGUCACAAUUAUCGCGGGCUAAGAGAACAACCGGCCGCUUGCAACAUUUCAUUUUGUGAAAUAUUUUCUAAUGAGAACGACCGGCCAGGGCACGACGGAUUGCUUUCAUAGUCAAAUCGCAAAUCAAUUUCAAAGUUCGCCAUACAAAUGUUUUUCAAUUUCGAUAUUUUUCAAUUUAAUUUUGAUCUGAAGAUUUAAAUUUAUUUUUUGUUUUACGUUCAAAGAUUUAAAUAUUUUAGUAGGUUUAUUAAUUUAUUUUUAUAUUUAUUUUAAUGUAUUUUUAUAUUUCUUUGUAAAUAUAUUUUUACUUUCAAAACAUUGAUUUGUAUUUUAUUUAGAACGUAAAAUUUUAAAUAUUUUAUUAGUUUAUUAAUUGUUUUUUUAUAUUUAUUUUAAUGUAUUUUUACAUUUCUUUAUAAAUAUAUUCAAUCUAUCAUAAUUUCGCCUAUGAGAACGACCGGCCACCAUAAACAACUAUAUAACUGAUUUUAAAAAUUUCUCAGUGGAUAGCAUAUCCCAGACCCUAUAGAUUUGAGCUGUCGGAAGGUUAGACGAAACAAUUUAGUGAUAAUUUGUGGUAUUUACAUAAACAUAAGUACUUGACUAAAGAUUCUAUCUAUCUAUAGUAUAAUGUAACGUUGUAUAUCCAAAAAUCUGUUUCAGAAAACACACAAAAUGCAGUCCCGGGGGUGGAAAAUGCAGACCCCAACCCCCUAGCAUCACGUAAUGCAACAUGACACCAAACAUUUUGUCACCAACAACCAUCUGUCAUCUUUCCACAUAGGCGUACGGGACGGGGGGGGCAGCUGCCCCCCCCCCCCAAGAAGAUUACAAAGUCGAAAAGUCGGGCAAAUGUUCAGCAAAAGUCGGGGUAAAGUCGGGCAAAAAGUAGUCAAAACUAGAAAAUCUCUCUUAAUAAUAACCCCAGUUUGUUGGGCAAAAAAGCCAGUUAGGCAAUAUUCGCUUCACAGUCUGGCAAUAUUUGGUAAUUAUAAAAAUAAUUGGGACAAAUUCUGUCAAUUUUGUGAGAAAUUAUGUCAAUUUUUCGAUUUUUGGGAAAAUUUGUUUAAUGUUCUGAAAAAUUUAGGUAUGUCCGAAACAUUUUUGGACCCCUAAAAUGGUACACUGACCGAAAUUUUUUCGGCGACGGGGGGGGGGGGUUGGGGGGGGCGCCAAACUUGUCGGGCACAAUCCGAAAAAGUCGGGAAAAUUUCUUUCUGCCCCCCCCAAAUUUUUCCUUCCCAUACGCCUAUGUCUUUCCACACAUAUUAUGGUCACUUUUUGUAGAUGCCCCUCACAGAUGACUUAUUAAAAAAGGUCCCGACCCAAACUCAAUUUAAAUAAGUUCGAACAUUUUAGAGUUAAACCUGCCAAGAUCAAUGAAUAAUCAUGAUUUACUAUCUCGCAUGUGCAACAAACGGCAUUGUUGCAACUUGCAACAAAAACCGAUUUUAUUGCAUGUUAAAAAUGCUCACACAUAAGUAACCAAACAUGAGACCACAUAGUCGGUAAACAAUUCUUCCUAACAUGAAUUGAUAUCAGUUUUUGUUGGAAAUCAGUUCUACUUAAUAAUGAAAAAGAUCACGAAUGAAAAUUAUUUUGCUUUAAUUUUAUAGGGCAUGGAGUUUCUCUAAAGAAGUGAAGAAUCUACAAUUAAAAGAUGAUGCUUCAAAAAAGUGAAUCAAUGCAAUUUUAUAAUGAUUUAAUACAUUUAUGUACAACUGAACAUUUGUACACGUGGAAGGGCACGUGAUAAUAUAAUCGUAAAUGCUAUGUAUAUGUG